CCCUUAGAUGUUCUGGGCUGCACGCGUGCUACACUGAUUACUUCAACAAGUGUUUUGACUGGAGAGUUCGCGUAAUCCUGAAAUGUUAUCGUGAUGGGAGUAGAGUAUUGUAUUUGUUAAUCUUUAACGAGGAAUUCCUAGUAAGUGUAGGUUUAUAAGUUGUUCUGAUUACGUCCCUGCCCUUUGUACACACCGCCCGUCGCUCCUACCGAUUGAUUGAUCCGGUGAAUUACAUAGAAUUUUGCGUUUUACAUGACGGAAGAUGAAGUGUUUUAAACCUUAUCAUUUAGAGGAAGGAGAAGUCGUAACA
rnacentral:rRNA from 1 species